UACGUAGGGUGCAAGCGUUGUCCGGAAUUAUUGGGCGUAAAGAGCUCGUAGGCGGCUUGUCACGUCGACUGUGAAAACCCGGGGCUCAACUCCGGGCCUGCAGUCGAUACGGGCUGGCUUGAGUGCGGUAGGGGAGACUGGAAUUCCUGGUGUAGCGGUGAAAUGCGCAGAUAUCUGGAGGAACACCGGUGGCGAAGGCGGCAUCCUGGACCGGCAUUGACGCUGAGGAGCGAAAGCCAGGGGAGCAAACGGG
rnacentral:rRNA from 1 species